rnacentral:rRNA from 1 species
ACGUACACUCCUACGGGAGGCAGCAGUGGGGAAUAUUGCACAAUGGGCGCAAGCCUGAUGCAGCCAUGCCGCGUGUAUGAAGAAGGCCUUCGGGUUGUAAAGUACUUUCAGCGGGGAGGAAGGCAAUACGGUUAAUAACCGUGUUGAUUGACGUUACCCGCAGAAGAAGCACCGGCUAACUCCGUGCCAGCAGCCGCGGUAAUACGGAGGGUGCAAGCGUUAAUCGGAAUUACUGGGCGUAAAGCGCACGCAGGCGGUCUGUCAAGUCGGAUGUGAAAUCCCCGGGCUCAACCUGGGAACUGCAUUCGAAACUGGCAGGCUUGAGUCUUGUAGAGGGGGGUAGAAUUCCAGGUGUAGCGGUGAAAUGCGUAGAGAUCUGGAGGAAUACCGGUGGCGAAGGCGGCCCCCUGGACAAAGACUGACGCUCAGGUGCGAAAGCGUGGGGAGCAAACAGGAUUAGAAACCCGAGUAGUCCCAUGAU